rnacentral:lncRNA from 1 species
UGAGGGUCUUCUCGAGAUGACAACCUUCUCCUUCCCGCAGGAUCCUCCGUGCUGGUCCUAUACGGCCGCCCGUGGCCCAGCGGUAUAGGGGAGUGUGCUGGCUGAUUGAAUGGUGGCCCCUGUUCUGGACCUAAUCCUUGUUCUUUACCUGUGAUGUCGUCAUUCGAGUGCUGGUGACCUGGCAGAUGGAGGUCCUGGGGGCGACAGGAGGCUGAGCUAUCAUCCACGCUAUGAUCAUACGUGAGUUACUUCUUACCUCCAGGCUGGACGUUUAUACAGUUUCAUCAGGAAUCUCAAGUGAUUCUUACCACCGAAGAAGUUUUGGAAACACAUUUCAAUGAGACUGCUUCUCGGAGAGGUUCCCCAAAGAAAAAG